rnacentral:tRNA from 1 species
GGAGCAUUAGCUUAUGGGGACAGAGCGUUCGGUCAGGAGACCGAGAAGGAGCGGGUUCGACUCUCGUAUGCUUCA